GCGGGAGUAGUUUAGUGGCAGAACAACUGCUUCCCAAGCAGUUAGUGUGGGUUCGAUUCCCAUCUUCCGCUCCA
rnacentral:tRNA from 1 species